AACAAACUCUUCGGAAGUAAAUCUUGCAAUCCUUAAACACACAUGUAUGAAUAGAUAGAUAGAUCGAUAGAGAGGAAUAGAGUCCUAAAUUACAAAGUAAAGCCUCACAAUUUCUUAUUUCCUAGAUUAGAAGGACAAGCGUAAUUCUAACAUGAUUAGACAAUGCAAAAGUAUUCUAAAGUCAUAUUAGUACUAUUAUUAUUUUUUUUUUUUUUGGAAACUACUACGUUUUUAAUUUUUAUGUACUUGGUUUACUUUUUUUUCCUGGGUCUCUUCUUCUGAUAAACA
rnacentral:misc_RNA from 1 species